rnacentral:tRNA from 1 species
UUUAAAGUAACAUAUUUAAUGUGAUAGAUUUAAGCUCUAUAUAUAGCCCAGCUCUUUAAAA